rnacentral:rRNA from 1 species
GUUGAACGCUGGCGGCAUGCCUUACACAUGCAAGUCGAACGGUAACAGGUCGUCGGAGGCUGACGAGUGGCGAACGGGUGAGUAAUACAUCGGAACGUGCCCGAUCGUGGGGGAUAACGGAGCGUAAGCUUUGCUGAUACCGCAUACGAUCUACGGAUGAGAGCAGGGGAGGGCAAGGCCUUGCGCGGGCGGAGCGGCCGGUGGCAGAUUAGGUAGUUGGUGGGAUAAAAGCUUACCAAGCCGACGAUCUGUAGCUGGUCUGAGAGGACGACCAGCCACCUUGGGACUGAGACACGGCCCAGACGCCUACGGGAGGCAGCAGUGGGGAAUGUUGGACAAUGGGCGAAAGCCUGAUCCAGCCAUGCCGCGUGCAGGAUGAAGGCCUUCGGGUUGUAAACUGCUUUUGUACGGAACGAAAAGACUCUUUCUAAUAAAGAGGGUCCAUGACGGUACCGUAAGAAUAAGCACCGGCUAACUACGUG